rnacentral:misc_RNA from 1 species
GAUGAAGAACGUAGCGAAAUGCGAUAAGUAAUGUGAAUUGCAGAAUUCAGUGAAUCAUCGAAUCUUUGAACGCACAUUGCGCCCGGCAGUAAUCUGCCGGGCAUGCCUGUCCGAGCGUCAUUUCACCCCUCGAGCCGCCUUUAGUGGAUCGGUGUUGGGGCACUACGGUAAAACGUAGGCCCUGAAAUGAAGUGGCGGUCCCGCCGCGGUGCCCCCAUGCGUAGUAACGUUUAGUCUCGCAUCGGGUCCCGGCGGAGGCCUGCCGUCAAGCCUAUUUAUUCUCAGAAUAGUUUGACCUCGGAUCAGGUAGGGUUACCCGCUGAACUUAAGCAUAUCAAUAAGCGGAGGA